UGCAGGUUGACACAGUUAACUACCAGUUACUCAACACUUUGCACCCACUUUUAUAUAAUACUUUUGGAUGAGAUUAAAGUAAUUUGUGUGCUUCGUAUACAUCUGCAUGGCCAGGAAAUAUUAUACAAGUGUUCCUAUAAUUAUUAUAGUAAUACCAUAAUCAUAGCUUAAUUCACAUUAUCCCCCCACACGCACCCCUCACAGGGCACUAAUGGCGAUGCCCCACCCCUUACACCGGUGAACUGUGCCACAGCUCCCCAUCUCACACAUGCACCGUCCUCAUAUCACAGCCGACUCAUUGUCGUGCAUGCAUGUGACUGUGACCACCGUGAGGAGUGUGUACCGGGGGGAAUGAAAGAGCUACCGGCCCUGUGCCGAUGACAAUGAAGUUCAUCCCCUGGGUCAAGAAUCCAUGGUCCCCCCCCCCCCCCCCCAGAACAGACAGACCCGGCCCCUGAUAUUGUGAACCCGUUCCAUAUACUCCGUUUAGAUUGGCCCGUCUCUCGUUGCUAUAUAUAGGAAACAAAGAAAUCAAGCCUGCAUGUCAAUCCAGUUCUGUGUAUGUGCCAGAGGGUUCUCAAAAGAAUUGGACUGAACUUCCGGUUACUAGAGAUCUAUACAUGCAACUCUGUAACAGCGUACUUUUCAAUCAGAAUUGAUACUCUUAUUAAUUGUUUUUUGGAUAUAGCUAAUAACUACAUGUGUGUACGUAGCUCGUCAACUAUGACAUGCAUGCAUGUAAGGGUACUGCAAACAUGUGUACCCUGGUAUAUAAU